GGAGAGUAGACAGGACUGUCUGGAGAGAGGAGCAGAUCUGGUGAUCAUAAACAGUGAUAAGGAACAGGAGUUUCUCUUCAGCUUCAAUAAGAGAGCCUGGAUUGGUCUGACUGACUCUGUUACUGAGGGGGCCUGGAAAUGGGUGGACGGCACCGCACUGACCACCCCAAGUUACUGGUACUUACAGCAGCCUGAUAAUGGUGGUGACAACCCAGCAAAUGGGGAGGAGGACUGUGUUGAGCUGAACACAGAAACCUGGCGUCCUGUAAAGGCAUGGAAUGACCAGUCAUGUUUAGACAAUCGUCAUUGGAUUUGUGAGAAAAGUGGUUUAACAACACCAUGACAACAGAGGAGGCUGGUGGGAGAACGCGCACACAUACAGCACCUUACAGUGCACACAACUUCAUUCUCUCUCUCUCUAAGACACAGACACACCAACACACUGCUGGUACUCUACUGAGUGGCAAACAAUCUGAUAAUGGUUGUGAACCAGGAUAUACUGUAACAAGGACUGUGCUGAUGUUAAUAUUGGGUAUUCUGAGUCUGUAUAUAAAUAUUAUGACAUAGCAUUUACCUCUCUUCAUAACUGGAUUUGUGAAGAGUUAUACAGUAGCUCAUUAUAUAGUAGUGCUACAGUGCUAAUGCAUCUCUCUCUAAUUAAACAGUGUGUAGACAUAUUGUCAUCUGUAAAAUGCUUGUAUUCAUUGUUUAAAUAGAAACAUAUUAUGUGA